rnacentral:rRNA from 1 species
GGAUGAUGAAGAAGCUUGCUUCUUCUGAUUUAGCGGCGGACGGGUGAGUAACACGUGGGCAACCUGCCCUGUAGAUUGGGAUAACUCCGGGAAACCGGGGCUAAUACCGAAUAAUCCAUUACCUCACAUGAGGAAAUGUUAAAAGACGGUCUCGGCUGUCACUACAGGAUGGGCCCGCGGCGCAAUAGCUAGUUGGUGAGGUAACGGCUCACCAAGGCGACGAUGCGUAGCCGACCUGAGAGGGUGAUCGGCCACACUGGGACUGAGACACGGCCCAGACUCCUACGGGAGGCAGCAGUAGGGAAUCUUCCACAAUGGACGAAAGUCUGAUGGAACAACGCCGCGUGAGUGAAGAAGGUUUUCGGAUCGUAAAACUCUGUUGUGAGGGAAGAACAAGUACGAAAGUAACUGCUCGUACCUUGACGGUACCUCAUUAGAAAGCCACGGCUAACUACGUGCCAGCAGCCGCGGUAAUACGUAGGUGGCAAGCGUUGUCCGGAAUUAUUGGGCGUAAAGCGCGCGCAAGCGGUCCUUUAAGUCUGAUGUGAAAGCCCACGGCUCAACCGUGGAAGGUCAUUGGAAACUGGGGGACUUGAGUACAGAAGAAGAAAGCGGAAUUCCAAGUGUAGCGGUGAAAUGCGUAGAGAUUUGGAAGAACACCAGUGGCGAAGGCGGCUUUCUGGUCUGUAACUGACGCUGAAGCGCGAAAGCGUGGGGAACAAACAGGAUUAGAUACCCUGGUAGUCCACGCCGUAAACGAUGAGUGCUAAGUGUUAGGGGGUUUCCGCCCCUUAGUGCUGCAGCUAACGCAUUAAGCACUCCGCCUGGGGAGUACGGUCGCAAGACUGAAACUCAAAGGAAUUGACGGGGGCCCGCACAAGCGGUGGAACAUGUGGUUUAAUUCGAAGCAACGCGAAGAACCUUACCAGGUCUUGACAUCCCGCUGACCGGCCUAAAGAUAGGCUUUUCCCUUCGGGGACAGCGGUGA